AUACGUAGGGAGCGAGCGUUGUCCGGAAUUACUGGGUGUAAAGGGAGCGUAGGCGGGAGCGCAAGUCAGAUGUGAAAUACAUGGGCCCAACCCAUGGGCUGCAUUUGAAACUGCAUUUCUUGAGUGAAGUAGAGGUAAGCGGAAUUCCUGGUGUAGCGGUGCAACGCGUAGAUAUCAGGAGGAACACCGGUGGCGAAGGCGGCUUACUGGGCUUUUACUGACGCUGAGGCUCGAAAGCGUGGGGAGCAAACAGGAUUAGAUACCCUGGUAGUCCACGCUGUAAACGAUGAUUACUAGGUGUGGGGGGACUGACCCCUUCCGUGCCGCAGUUAACACAAUAAGUAAUCCACCUGGGGAGUACGGCCGCAAGGUUGAAACUCAAAUGAAUUGACGGGG
rnacentral:rRNA from 1 species